rnacentral:rRNA from 1 species
UACGGAGGGGGCUAGCGUUAUUCGGAAUUAUUGGGCGUAAAGGGCGUGUAGGCGGCUUUGUGUGUUCUAUGUGAAAUCCCUCGGCUUAACCGGGGAACUGCGUCUGAUACUGGAUGGCUUGAGUUUGGGAGAGGGAUGCGGAAUUCCAGGUGUAGCGGUGAAAUGCGUAGAUAUCUGGAGGAACACCGGUGGCGAAGGCGGCAUCCUGGACCAACACUGACGCUGAGUGAGCGAAAGCCAGGGGAGCAAACGGG